UACGUAGGGUGCGAGCGUUAAUCGGAAUUACUGGGCGUAAAGCGUGCGCAGGCGGUUCGUCGUGUCCGAUGUGAAAGCCCCGGGCUCAACCCUGGGAAUGGCAUUGGAAACUGGCGGACUCGAGUGUGGCAGAGGGGGGGGUGGAAUUCCGCGGUGUAGCAGUGAAAUGACGUAGAGAUGCGGAGGAACACCGAUGGCGAAGGCAGCCCCUGGGCGUAACACC
rnacentral:rRNA from 1 species